GAGAGGAUCUCUUUCUGGUGAUCACUCCUUUUGGAGUUUUCUACUAUGUGACUAGGAUGUGGGCUGGAGAGUAAAACACUCAGAACCGAAGAGAUGCUCUGAUGGCCCCAAGGUGAUGUCUCCUAGAGCAGACAGAGAGCUGUUUGUAAUAUAACUGGAGAGAACAGGAGAGGAGGAGCAGCAUCUGAGAGGAAAAUAGUGCACCCUAUGGUAAGGGUCGAGAGGAUAUGUGGUCCCUUGGUCUCUCCUGUGGCUACAGAGGAACAUUUGUCUGUCUCUAGACAGAGAAAGUAAAUUAAGCUGAACUCCUUCCAUUCUGGUCCCUGCAGCACCUCUAAGUACAGAAUGACUAUGGAUAGCAGAUUUGAAUUCUGUAAAACUGGAAUUCACUGCAAGUAACCACCUAUCGAUAGUUAUUUCUGUCUCUUUCUGUAUGUAUUCUUAGGUCACUCUGUUGCUUGUUUCCAGGUUUUUCUUAACAAAUAACCUGUUAAUAGUCUUACUUCCACUUGUUUGCUGUUGUAACAAAUCUCAAUUAUGUAUCAUAAGGAAAUGUCAUGGAUUGAAGAUAUGAAAUAUAUGUAUGUCUGCUCAUUUAUCAGGGUGUUUUUACAACUGUAACAUAGCUGCUGUUACUGAAGCGCUAUUUUUCUUAGUUCCUAACACUGUUGUCUAAGAAAUAAGCAAUGUUGUAAUCUGUUAUAUCACAGUAGAAUACAUACUCUGGAAGAAGACCUACAGCCUACUGCCAUCCC